GUGGGGAAUAUUGGGCAAUGGGCGCAAGCCUGACCCAGCAACGCCGCGUGAAGGAAGAAGGCUUUCGGGUUGUAAACUUCUUUUAUCAGGGACGAUAAUGACGGUACCUGAUGAAUAAGCCACGGCUAACUACGUGCCAGCAGCCGCGGUAAUACGUAGGUGGCAAGCGUUAUCCGGAUUUACUGGGUGUAAAGGGCGUGUAGGCGGGACAGCAAGUCAGAUGUGAAAAUUAUGGGCUCAACCCAUAACCUGCAUUUGAAACUGUUGUUCUUGAGUGAUGGAGAGGUAAGUGGAAUUCCCAGUGUAGCGGUGAAAUGCGUAGAUAUUGGGAGGAACACCAGUGGCGAAGGCGACUUACUGGACAUUAACUGACGCUGAGGCGCGAAAGCGUGGGGAGCAAACAGGAUUAGAUACCCGGGUAGUCC
rnacentral:rRNA from 1 species